UUCCUCCGAUGCGUGGGUGCUGGAGAAAUACGACACUGUCCCCGAUGACAUGAAGAUCGAAAACAAUGGACACUCAGCCAAGGUUGCGUGGACCGUGACGAACACCACAGACCUUCCCUCCGUGAGCGGCGGAGAGUUGGGCGGAAAAUACACCUUCGCCCAGUUCCAUUUCCACUGGGGCAGCAUCAGCACACAGGGCUCGGAACAUACCAUCAAUGGAAUCGCAUACGCUGCCGAGCUUCAUCUGGUGCACUUCAAGACUGAGUAUGGUUCUCGG
rnacentral:lncRNA from 1 species